UACAGGGGGGGCAAGCGUUGUUCGGAAUUACUGGGCGUAAAGGGCUCGUAGGUGGCCAACUAAGUCAGACGUGAAAUCCCUCAGCUUAACUGGGGAACUGCGUCUGAUACUGGAUGGCUUGAGUUUGGGAGAGGGAUGCGGAAUUCCAGGUGUAGCGGUGAAAUGCGUAAAUAUCUGGAGGAACACCGGUGGCGAAGGCGGCAUCCUGGACCAAUUCUGACGCUGAGGCGCGAAAGCCAGGGGAGCAAACGGG
rnacentral:rRNA from 1 species